UACAGAGGUCCCAAGCGUUGUUCGGAUUCACUGGGCGUAAAGGGUGCGUAGGCGGUCGGGUAAGUCUGAUGUGAAAGCUCGGAGCUUAACUCCGAAAUGGCAUCGGAUACUAUUCGGCUCGAGGAAUGGAGGGGAGACUGGAAUGCUCGGUGUAGCAGUGAAAUGCGUAGAUAUCGUAAGGAAGACCAGUGGCGAAGGCGGGUCUCUGGACAGUUCCUGACGCUGAGGCACGAAGGUCAGGGGAGCAAACGGG
rnacentral:rRNA from 1 species